rnacentral:rRNA from 1 species
AGACCUAAGGUCAGGCGGGACUACGUGCUGAAUUAAAGCAUAUCAAAAAGCGGAGGAAAAGAAACUAACAAGGAUUCCCUUAGUAACGGCGAGCGAAUUGGGAUAGGCCGACCAUGUGAAUCGUUCGCCUUCGGCGUUCGAAUUGUAGUCUUGAGAAGCGUCCUCAACGGCGGAACGGGCCCAAGUCCCCUGGAAGGGGGCGCCGGAGAGGGUGAGAGCCCCGUUGUGCUCGGACCUAGCGCACCACAAGGAGCUAUCGGCGAGUCGGGUUGUUUGGGAAUGCAGCCCCAAUCGGGCGGUAAAUUCCAUCCAAGGCAAAAUAUUGGCGAGAGGCCGAUAGCGAACAAGUACCGCGAGGGAAAGAUGAAAAGGACUUUGAAAAGAGAGUCAAAGAGUGCUUGAAAUUAUCGGGAAGGAAGAGGAUGGGGGCCGGCGAUGUGUCUCAUUUGGAUGUGGAACCGUUAGUGUCGAUCCGCCAAUCGACUUGGGACUUCGACUGACGCAGAUUUUGACGGUGGCCCUAGCCUGGGUUGUUGAAAUGCUCACGAAGACGUCAUCAUCACGAUUGUGGACAGAAGCACGCGUCGUUUCGGCGUGCUUCGGCACUUGCGCUCUCUUGGUGUCGGCUUGUGGGCUCCCCAUUCAACCCGUCUUGAAACACGGACCAAGGAGUCAGACAUGUGUGCGAGUCAACGGGCGAGUAAACCCAUAAGGCGCAAGGAAGCUGAUUGGUGGGAUCGUCUUGUGGGUUGCACCGCCGACCAACCCCGAUCUUCUGUGAAGGGUUCGAGUGAGAGCAUACUUGUCGGGACCCGAAAUAUUGUGAACUAUGCCUGAGCGGGCCGAAGCCAGAGGAAACUCUGGUGGAGGCCCGCAGCGAUACUAACGUGCAAAUCGUUCGUCUGACUUGGGUGUAGGGGCGAAAGACUAAUCGAACCGUCUAGUAGCUGGUACCCUCUGAAGUUUCCCUCAGGUUAGCUGGAGCCCGAGGGCGAGUUCUAUCAGGUAAAGCCAAUGAUUUUAGGCAUCGGGGGAGCAACGCCCUCGACCUAUUCCCAAAAUUUAAAUAGGUAGGACGGUGUGGCAGCUUUGUUUAGCCAUGCCAUGGAAUCGAGAGCUCCAAGUGGGCAAUUUUUGGUAAGCAGAACUGGCGAUGUGGGAUGAACCAGAAGCUGGGUUACGAUGCCCAACUGCGCGCUAACCUAGACCUCACAAAGGGUGUUGGUCGAUUAAGACAACAGGACGGUGGUCAUGGAAGUCCAAAUCCGCUAAGGAGUGUGUAACAACUCACCUACCGAAUCAACUAGCCCUGAAAAUGGAUGGCACUAAAUCGUGCGACCUAUACCCGACCGUUGGGGUAAGGGCCAGGCCCCGAUAAGUAGGAGGGUGCAGUGGUCGCUGCAAAAUUUGGGGCGCCAGCCUUGGCGGAGAGGUCGUUAGUGCAGAUCUCGGUGGUAGUAGCAAAUAUUCAAAUGAGAACUUUGAAGGCCGAAGGACGGGAAAGGUUCCAUGUGAACGACAAUGUUAGGGAGUCCAAAGACGUUGGCGGGGGCCCCGGCAAGAGUUAUCUUUUCGGUUUAACAGCCUGCCCACUUUGGAAAGUGCUCAGCCGAAGGUAGGGUCCAGAGGCUAGAAGAGCAUCGCACGUCGCGUGGUGUCCGGUGCUCCCCUGGCAGCCCUUAAAUAUCCGGAGGACUGAGUGCCUUCCAUGCCCGGUCGUACUCAUAACCGCAUCAGGUCUCCAAGGUGAAGAGCCUCUGGUCGAUGGAACAAUGUAGGCAAGGGAAGUCAGCAAAAUGGAUCCAUAACCUCGGGAAAAUGAUUAGCUCUGAGGGUUGGGCACGCGGGUCCCAGUUCCGAACCCGUCGGCUGUUGGUGGACUGCUUAAGCUGCUCCCGCGGCGAGAGCGGGUCGCCGCAUGCCGGUCGGGGGAUGGAUUGGGAACAGACCCUUCGGGGCCUCUUCCUCGGGCAUCGAGCAAUCAACUCAAAACUCGUACGGACAAGGGGAAUCCGACUGUUUAAUUAAAACAAAGCAUUGCGAUGGUUCCUGUGGAUGUUGACGCAAUGUGAUUUUUGCCCAAUGCUUCGAAUGUUAAAGUGAAGAAAUUCAACCGAGCGAUGGUAAACGGCGGGAGUAACUAUGACUCUCUUAAAGUAGCCAAAUGCCUCGUCAUCUAAUUAGUGACGCGUAUGAAUGGAUUAUCGAGAUUCCCAUUGUCACUGUCUACUAACCAGUGAAACCACAGCCAAGGGAACGGGCAUGGCAGAAUCAGCGGGGAAAAAAGAUGUUGUUGAGCUUGACUCUAGUCCGACAUUGUGAAAUGACUUGAGAGGUCUAGGAUAAGUGGGAGCUGGAGAUAGCGAAAGUGAAAUACCACUACUUUUAAUGUUAUUUUACUUAUUCCGUGAAUCGGAGGCGGGGCGUUGUCCCUUUUUUUGGAUCCAAGGCUGACUUCAGUUGGCCAAUCCGUGUGGAAGACAUUGUCAGGUGGGAAAUCAUUGUUCGGGCUGCACAUCUGUUAAAAGAUAACACAAGUGUCAUAAGAUGAGAUCAACGAGAACAGAAAUCUCGUGUGGAACAAAAGGGUAAAAGCUCGUUUGAUUCUGAUUUCCAGUACGAAUACGAACCGUGAAAGCAUGGCUUAUCAAUCCUUUAGUCCUUCAGAAUUUGAAGCUAGAUGUGUCAGAAAAGUUACCAUAGGGAUAACUGGCUUGUUGCAGCCAAGCGUUCAUAGCGAUGUUGCUUUUUGAUCCUUCGAUGUCGGCUCUUCCUAUCAUUGUGAAGCAGAAUUCACCAAGUGUUGGAUUGCUUACCCACCAAUAGGGAACGUGAGCUGGGUUUAGACCGUCGUGAGACAGGUUAGUUUUACCCUACUAAUGACAAUGUCACAAUAGUAAUUCAACCUAGUUCGAGAGGAACUGUUGAUUUGCACAAUUGGUCAUCACACUUGGUGGAAAAGCUAGUGGCGCGAAGCUAUCGUGUGUUGGAUUAUGAUUGAAUGCCUCUAAGUUAGAAUCUGGGCUAGAAGCGAUGCGUGUGCCCGACGUUCGUUUGCCGACCAGCAGUAGGGAGCCUUGGCCCCCAAGAGGCACAUGAGUUGGUGGACCUCGUAAGGCGGAUGAGCCUUCCUGGACACCUUGAAACGCAAUUCCUUUUGAGCGGCGGGUAAAAUCU